GAUGAACGCUAGCGGCAGGCUUAACACAUGCAAGUCGAGGGGUAUUGGUUUUCGGACCAAGAGACCGGCGCACGGGUGCGUAACGCGUAUGCAAUCUACCUUUUGCAGAGGGAUAGCCCAGAGAAAUUUGGAUUAAUACCUCAUAGUAUAGUACUUUGGCAUCAAGGAACUAUUAAAGUCACAACGGCAAAAGAUGAGCAUGCGUCCCAUUAGCUAGUUGGUAAGGUAACGGCUUACCAAGGCUACGAUGGGUAGGGGUCCUGAGAGGGAGAUCCCCCACACUGGUACUGAGACACGGACCAGACUCCUACGGAGGCAGCAGUGAGGAUAUUGGACAAUGGG
rnacentral:rRNA from 1 species